rnacentral:rRNA from 1 species
AGCAUUAUACCGCGAAACUGCGAAUGGCUCAUUAUAUAAGUUAUCGUUUAUUUGAUAAUACUUUACUACUUGGAUAACCGUGGUAAUUCUAGAGCUAAUACAUGCUGAAAAUCCCGACUUCGGAAGGGAUGUAUUUAUUAGAUUAAAAACCAAUGCCCCUCGGGGCUCUCUGGUGAAUCAUGAUAACUAGUCGAAUCGACAGGCCUUGUGCCGGCGAUGGCUCAUUCAAAUUUCUUCCCUAUCAACUUUCGAUGUUUGGGUAUUGGCCAAACAUGGUGGCAACGGGUAACGGAGGGUUAGGGCUCGACCCCGGAGAAGGAGCCUGAGAAACGGCUACUACAUCCAAGGAAGGCAGCAGGCGCGCAAAUUACCCAAUCCCGACACGGGGAGGUAGUGACAAUAAAUACUGAUACAGGGCUCUUUUGGGUCUUGUAAUCGGAAUGAGUACAAUUUAAAUCCCUUAACGAGGAACAAUUGGAGGGCAAGUCUGGUGCCAGCAGCCGCGGUAAUUCCAGCUCCAAUAGCGUAUAUUAAAGUUGUUGUGGUUAAAAAGCUCGUAGUUGAACCUUGGGCCUGGCUGGCCGGUCCGCCUCACCGCGUGCACUGGUCCGGCCGGGCCUUUCCCUCUGCGGAACCCCAUGCCCUUCACUGGGUGUGGCGGGGAAACAGGACUUUUACUUUGAAAAAAUUAGAGUGCUCAAGGCAGGCCUAUGCUCGAAUACAUUAGCAUGGAAUAAUAGAAUAGGACGUGUGGUUCUAUUUUGUUGGUUUCUAGGACCGCCGUAAUGAUUAAUAGGGACAGUCGGGGGCAUCAGUAUUCAAUUGUCAGAGGUGAAAUUCUUGGAUUUAUUGAAGACUAACUACUGCGAAAGCAUUUGCCAAGGAUGUUUUCAUUAAUCAGGAACGAAAGUUAGGGGAUCGAAGACGAUCAGAUACCGUCGUAGUCUUAACCAUAAACUAUGCCGACUAGGGAUCGGACGAUGUUACAUUUUUGACGCGUUCGGCACCUUACGAGAAAUCAAAGUGCUG